CUCGUAGGCGGCCAACUAAGUCAGACGUGAAAUCCCUCGGCUUAACCGGGGAACUGCGUCUGAUACUGGAUGGCUUGAAUUCGGGAGAGGGAUGCAGAAUUCCAGGUGUAGCGGUGAAAUGCGUAGAUAUCUGGAGGAAUACCGGUGGCGAAGGCGGCAUCCUGGACCGAGAUUGACACUGAUGAGCGAAAGCCAGGGGAGCAAACG
rnacentral:rRNA from 1 species